rnacentral:rRNA from 1 species
GUAGGUGGCAAGCGUUGUCCGGAAUUAUUGGGCGUAAAGCGCGCGCAGGCGGGUUCUUUAAGUCUGAUGUGAAAGCCCACGGGCUCAACCGUGGAGGGUCAUUGGAAACUGGAAAACUUGAGUACAGAAGAGGAAAGCGGAAUUCCACGUGUAGCGGUGAAAUGCGUAGAGAUGUGGAGGAACACCAGUGGCGAAGGCGGCUUUCUGGUCUGUAACUGACGCUGAGGCGCGAAAGCGUGGGGAGCAAACAGGAUUAGAUACCCUGGUAGUCCACGCCGUAAACGAUGAGUGCUAAGUGUUAGGGGGUUUCCGCCCCUUAGUGCUGCAGCUAACGCAUUAAGCACUCCGCCUGGGGAGUACGGCCGCAAGGCUG